AUGUGUGAAUGCAUCACCAUCCAUGUUGGCUAGGCUGUUCUCCAGACUGGCAAUGCCUUCUGGGAGCUCCAUUGCCUGGAACAUGGCAUCCAGCCCAAUAGCCAGAUGUCAAGUGACAAGACCAUUAGGGGAGGAGAUGACUCCUUCAACACUUUCUUCAGUGAUGCGGUUGCUGGCAAGCACGUGCCCAGGGCAGUGUUUGUAGACCUGGGCCCACAGUCAUUGAUGAAGUUCACACUGGCAACUACCGCCAGGUUUUCCAAUCUGAGCAGCUCAUCACAGGCAAGGAAGAUGCUGCCAAUAAUUAUGCCCAAUGGCACUGCACCAUUGGCAAGGAGAUCAUUGACUUUGUCUUAGACUGAAUUUAGUAACUGGCCAACCAGUGCAGAGGUCUUCACAACUUCUUGGUUUUCCACAACUUUGGAGGGAGAACUGGUUCUGGUUUUACUUCCCUGCUGAUGGAACAUCUCUGUCAAUUACAGCAAGAAGUCCAAGCUGGAAUUCUCCAUUUACCCAACCCCCCAGGUUUCUACAGCUGUAGUUAAGCCCUACAACUCCAUCCUCACCACUCACACCACCCUGGAGCACUCUGACUCUGCCUUCAUGGUAGAAAACAUGGCCAUAUAUGACAUCUGUCAUGGAAACCUUGACAUUGAAUGCCCAACCUACACUAACCUAAAUAGGUUGAUAUGUCAAAUUGUGUUCUCCAUCACUGCUUCCCUCAGAUCUUAUGGAGCCCUGAAUGUUGAUCUGACAGAAUUCCAGGCCAACCUGGUGCCCUAUUCCCAAAUCCACUUCCCUCUGGCCAUAUAUGGCUCUGUCAUAUCUGUUGAGAAAGCCUACCAUGAAUAGCUUUCUGUAGCAGAGAUCACCAAUGUGUGCUUUGAGCCAGCCAACCAGAGGGUGAAAUAUGACCCUUACCAUGGUAAAUGCAUGGCUUACUGCCUGUUGUACCAUGGUGAUGUGUUUCCCAAAGAUGUCAAUGCUGCCAUUGAUCUGAUCAAGACCAAGUGUACCAUCUAGUUUGUGGACUGGUGCCCCACUGACUUCAAUGUUGGCAUUAAUUACCAGCCUCCCACUGUGGAGAGGGAGACCUAGCCAAAGUACAGAGAGCUAUGUUAAUGCUGAGCAACACCACAACCAUCGCUGAGGCCUAGGCUCACCUGGACCACAAAUUUGACUUGAUGUAUGCCAAGUCUGCCUUUGGUCACUGGUAUGCAAGUGAAGGCAUGGAGGACAAAGAAUUUUCUGAGGCCCGUGAGGACAUGGCUGCUCUUGAGAAGGAUUAUGAGGAAAUUGGUGUGGAUUUUGUUGAAGGAGAAAGUGAAGAAGAAGGAGAGGAAUACUAAAGUUAAAAAUGUCACAAAGGUGCUGCUUUUACGGGGAAGCUUAUUCUGUUUUGAACAUUGAAAAGUUGUGCUUUGAUCAGUUAAUUUGUAUGUAGCAGUGUAUACUCUCAUAUACAUUUACUGACCUAUGCUUAAAAACACAAUGCUUUGUUACAGACCCAAGCUGUCCAUUUCUCUGAUGGGUUUGAAUAAAGUAUUCCCUGUCUUAAAAAAA